CUUUGCCGGGGUUCAGCGCCCGCGGAGGGCACAGGGGCGCCCGGGGUGUCCCGGCGGGGCAGAGCCCCCCGCCCACAUCUCGGAGGUCAGCGGAGAGCGGCGCGCUGUUGGCCGCGACCGCGGAAAAAUCGCGUCGGAGGGGGUGUGGGGAACCCACUGCCACGAGGGGUUCAAUAAAAGGGCGAUAAAUUAGGCAGCAGAAGGCGCUGCGGGGCUGCUGGAGGGGGCGGGGGCAAGGGAAGGCCGUGCUACCCCAAAGGCCUUCCCAGGGUCUCAGGCUGGCGGAGGUGACCUGGGCGGGCAGCGGCAGUGGCAGCAAAGACACCUGGAAGGGAGCAGGGGGUGCCCACGGGGGGUGCCCACCCAGCGGCACAGCGCGGCGGUGGGGCAGGGAUGGCGGUACCGAGCACCCAGUGGUGGUUCUGGGAUGGGGCCGAGUCCCGGGUGCUGCCCCCAGGUGAUGCAUCCCCCGCUCCCUCCCCCCCCCCCCCCCACUCCCCCGAUACAGCACAGCAGAGACCUUCUGCAAAGUGGAUAGCGAUCCCUUCCCCCUGUGAAACAAAAUCCCUGGCCCGUGCAUCUCUCCCUGCACUGCCUGCAGAGCUUGGCUACCCUUCGGGGCUGGCCACAGCGAGGGACUAGGGAAAGGGGAGAAAGACAAAACUAAAAAAUUGGGAAAGGAAGGAAAAGGCCUGGAAGAAAAGGGUCCUAGUGUUAGAAAUGAGGCCUGGAUGGGUUCUGCUGACUGCCAAGGCCUGGCACAGUACAGCCCUCCCAUUGGAGGGCAACCAAGCCGAGCCGUGCUUCUGCUCCAUCUGCGGGUGUUCCCAGGGGCCCAGCUGGGACUGGGACAGGCAGAACCCCAAAAGCCACUCCGCAGCUUUGCAGCCUGAGUGUGCUCACCGUCCAGAGCGUAGGAUGCUCAAAGGCUGAAAGCUGGGGAACGAGGGAGGAAUUUGCAGAUGCUCCGGGCCCUGUGACAGAAGCCUGCACAGUUAUUGUCCUCUGUCUGCUCCACGCCCUUUUGAGUACAUGCAUACACACAGAUGCAUAUACAUACUGGGUGUACACGUAUAUCCUUACCCACACGCUGCUCUGCGGAGCUGGGCAGGUGAGGCUGGUGAUUAACAUUUUUUGGAGAAAACACAGCACCUGCUCCUGGCUCGCACGCAGUCUUCCACCGUGCCAGCAUCACCAUACCUGCAGUCGAGUUUGCAUGAUGCUCCCCACCCCCGCCCACCCCCCAUCGCCAGAAACAGCUCUCAGAAGUUGUCACCACACAUCUGCAGAGAGAACUUUUCCUUUGUGGAGGGGACAAGAGGGCUGCGAAGGAGAGGGGCGGCGCGGUCACGGGUUGGGUUACACCGAGGGAAAGGCACACAGAAAGGAGGUAAAAAAAAAAAAAAAAAAAAAAAAGAGGAGACUAAAAGAAACACACAAGUAACCCUACGUUUUCCCAGGUCUCUGCGACCCGAGAUGAGGACCGUGGAGUGGCCAAGGGGAAGUCGGGUCCGAGCAGGUCCCCGUCCCUCGAACCUCUUCCCACUCCAGCUUCGCAGAGGUUAAAAAGCAAUCACAGCCCAUUUCCCAGCUAAGUGUGAGUUGUGGCCGUUCCCAGUGCCCCGCAGUUUGUCGGGGGCAGGGAAUGCCUCCCGCCGGCCCAGCUCCCUCGCACCUGGCCGCCUCACGGACGGCCCCCUCCGACCCCGGCUCUGCAGCAGCCCCACAGCCGCGCUUCUCCGCCAACUUCGUGGCCCUCCGAGCGCCGCGUGUUCCGAGCCGCCCUUCCCGAGCGCGGAGCAGCGCACGGAGAUGGGCCCCGGCUCGCAGGCGGCUGAGGGGAGCCGGUGCCUCCCCGGUGCCGCGCAACCCAUCCCGCAGCAGAGCGACUCUUGUGGGUCCGCGCUCCCUCCCCGCCGGGCACGGAGGCAUCUGAUUGCCGCCCCCGUAAUCUGUUGACACUAUCGCCCGGAUAAACAGGCUGCCAUCGAUCUUUUCAUUAGGUGAUCAAAUAACAAACGGAGCAGGUGAAAGACAGCGGCACCGCUCCUCUCGCCCUUCCCCAGCCUGCUGCGAGACGUGCUCCUCUCAUGUGGUCAGAGCUCGCCCGCGGCCCGUGGCUGUGUCCCCGAGACCCGCGUGGGUCCGCCCGCGCGCUGCGGGAGCGGAGCGGGGGGGGGGGGGGGAUGGAAAUACCCAC
ensembl:lncRNA